GGGUGAGUAAUAUAUCGGAACGUGCCCAGUCGUGGGGGAUAACGCAGCGAAAGCUGUGCUAAUACCGCAUACGAUCUAUGGAUGAAAGCGGGGGAUCGCAAGACCUCGCGCGAUUGGAGCGGCCGAUAUCAGAUUAGGUAGUUGGUGGGGUAAAGGCCCACCAAGCCAACGAUCUGUAGCUGGUCUGAGAGGACGACCAGCCACACUGGAACUGAGACACGGUCCAGACUCCUACGGGAGGCAGCAGUGGGGAAUUUUGGACAAUGGGCGCAAGCCUGAUCCAGCAAUGCCGCGUGCAGGAUGAAGGCCUUCGGGUUGUAAACUGCUUUUGUACGGAACGAAACGGCUCUUUCUAAUACAGAGGGCUAAUGACGGUACCGUAAGAAU
rnacentral:rRNA from 1 species